UUCACGACCAACGAACGUCCACCCCUACGGUCCCCCUCCUUCCCGCUUUCGAAAGUCGGAACGGAGGGUUUUUUCCCCCCUUCCGACGGUUUAAACGUACAAGUUCUUGGAUUUUUUUUUUUUGAUCGUUGUUGGUGCUUUUUCUCGAGAUUGCGUGUUCUAAUAUGUAAAAUUCUCGACAUUUCCAUAUCUUCAAUGUUCAUGCUCGCCCAAAGAACAUGUUGAAAUGUUCACAUGGAACAUAAGGGUGCAGAAGUUUGUUCUUUCUUGUUUGACGUCUUUUGACGAUGUUGAUAGAUGGAAGCCGUUACGAGACUGACCGCCAUCAAACCUCCUGUAUUAAUUGGUGGGGUAAAGAGAGGAAGGGAGGCUCUAUUUCUCUCUUUUCUUCAGGCAAAAUGUUAGUGCUCAUGAUCCAGAAACUCUUUUUUAUUGUAAAACUAGAAGCUCGUCAUUCGUUAAUGUUCUUCUUUGGUGAUGUCA